GCAAGUCGAACGGGAUCCAGAAGCUUGCUUCUGUGGACGAGUGGCGAAAGGGUGAGUAACGCGUGAGUAACCUGCCCUCAAGUUGGGGAUAACUCUUGGAAACGAGGGCUAAUACCGAAUGUGAAUAUUUUCUCGCAUGGGAUAAUAUUUAAAAAUUUAUUGCUUGAGGAUGGGCUCGCGUACCAUUAGCUAGUUGGUGUGGUAACGGCAUACCAAGGCUACGAUGGUUAGGUGGAUUGAGAGAUCGGUC
rnacentral:rRNA from 1 species